ACCUGCCUGUUAAUCCGGAUAUGACGUCAGAGCGAUGUGUCAUUGAGUUUUCAGUUCAUCAAAGUUAGUUCCAACAUGUUGUUUACCGGCGUUCAGCUGUUCUCAAAGACUCUCAGAGGAGUCGGCGGUUCAGUUUUUUCUGCGCCACAGAGCUUUACACAGUGUAGACACCGAGCGUCUCCUGACGUCACUGGGGAAGCAGAGAGUGGGUUGUUCCACUGCAGCCAAACUAGACGGUGAUUGGAUAAAUGCUGGGCUUUGUCCCGCCCAUCGGACGCUCAGCGUCUCUGGGGGUCUAUGGGACAGUGGGCUGGCCCGGACGCUCGGCUUCUGCAUGAUGAUUGGAUGAUCUGUCUGAGGCUGAGUCCCUUUUUGAUUGACAGCGAAAUGAGCGAAUCAGCGAUCUUGAAGUAUAAGCAUCCACCGGAGCAGUUUUCAAGUUUUUCAUUCCGUUGUUCGGAGUUGAUCUGGAGACGUUACUGAUCCCCAGCGACUUUGUCUUCGUUAAAAACGACUAGCGUUGUGUUUGGCGACUCUCUUCUGUCACUCUGCGAAUUUACAUAUAAAUAAACGGACACGUUUUAUGUUGUAGGCCGAAAAUGAGCUUCCCCUCCUUAUAGGACCAGCAGCCGCCACUGAUAGAUACAUACAUUUUUAAUUACAGAUAAUUACUGUCAUUUUACACAGAUCUGUAUGUAAUUUAAGAAAAUAGAAAAAAUACUGUAUAAAUAAUACAGUAAUUUUUUUUUUUUUUUUACAAAAAUGGGAAAUAAAUGUAAUUCAUUAUGAUUGGCAUAAUGCUUAAAAUAGAAGUUUGGCUGUUAAUUCACAGAUCAUUUCUGUAAUUUUACAGACUUUUGUACUCAAUUAAAAAAAACUGAAAAUUACUUUUAGAAAACUUAGUUGUUUUCUGUAAAACUUUUUACAGUGUAAUGGAUUAGCUUAGUCUUAGCCUCCCGUUUGUAUAUAAAAAAGAGUUUUAUGUUGUUUUUGUAAAUCCAUUUUUAAAUUUGAAGUAUUUAUUGGUGGAUUAAUCGUUUAUUUAUAUUUUUCUUUUUACUCAGUUAAACGUGAACGCACAGGUGUGAUACACGUAUUUUUUACAUUCAGUGUAACUUUCCGUACACGUCAUUAUCUCCGACGUACAUCGCACGUUCACGUCCUGCUUGUAGCUGCAGAACUCGGCUGAGAAUCAUCAUGUUUUUAGGUUUUCUUCAGUAUCGCAGUAAUACAGUGAUAGUUGUCUGUACAUUUAUGAGUAUACCGGAAACAGGAAGUGCUAAUAGUGAAUUCGGCAUCUUUAAGUGGCCGAAAUGUAAAAUAUAUAGGCUACAAAACGGGGCUCAAGUUUUAGCUCACAGUGUGAAUCCAUGGCAACAUUAUACUUCCUGUUUCUGGUAAAAGUUUACAGCUGCUCAUAUAAGUGACGACUUUUAAGAUUUAAUAUGACAUUAUCUAAAAGACUUUGUAAAUACUAAUAAUAAUAAUGAUGAAGAUUUUUAAGCUUAUAUUGAUACUGGAGAAAUCCAAAGACAGACAGCUCUGUCUGAUUAUAGCUGAUGAUGGUUUUAUUUAAUUAUUAAUUUAUUCAUUUUUAGGGGUAGGUUGUAAAAUAAGGAGGUUAACGAUGUUGCAUAAAUUUUUACCUUUACAUUCAAACUGAUGAGGGUUUUGUGAAGCUGUUAAAACAACAUUUUUCUUUGCUCUGAAUGGACGGAGGAGCCGAGUGUCCCUCAUGAAACCUUAUCUCACACUCAGAUAAUCCUCCUUCAAAAAGCUCUUAUAUUAAAUGUUUUCCCUCCUAAUACCUUGGAGGAAUUCUGGAUGAUCCCCUCUUUAACUCGUGCACUGAACUCCUCCAGCGGCCGUAACAAACCUGCGACCCACUUCAACACGUAAGUGUGAUGAAGUCUGUCAUACAUUAGUGUUCACUGAUUGGCUCUCUGCGUCAGUCUUGACCUAAUUAUCAUAAGUGGCUCCUCUGAAUUGCAGAUUCCUGCAGAAUCUCAUCUGAAUGUUUCUUGACUUUAACGAGGCGACGGGUCCAGACACAGACAUUUAUACUGAUCCAGAGCAAAAGUAAGAAUCUGAUUUAAGCUCAGAUAGAGUCACUUUGUGGGUGAACAUGGUGUUUAUGUCUCUUUAACGAUCAAAUUCACAUUUUACAAAGUGUAUUUGAGGAGUUUUUAAAGGGAAGUUCAGAUACUUACUGUACAUGAAGUGCAGCUUCCCUGCAGGGACUUUUUUUUAUUUUUGGCCGGUUUCUCAGUUUCUAAUCUUUCUCAGGUGAAACAGAAGAAAUAAUUAAACUCUGCAGUUUCUUUUCGCUUCUUUAAAAUUCUUUAUUUCAUUCUCACUGUGUGGCUGGUCACGCUGCUCUGAGAUGUCUGUUCUCCCUCAACAUCCUUUUAUCUCAGAGAAAUCACUAUUAUAGUUUGGACCUUAUUAUUUAGCUAUUAUUAAGUCAAGAUGACCAGAUUUCUGAAAUGAAAGCCAGGGACAUUUCCAGUCAGUAUAUCAUUAAAAUGUCCAGUGUUUGUAUCUAUGAAACAAAAAGGGGAGUUGUUGUAACUGUUGUACUGUAAUAAACUGAUAGAAUGAGCAGG